GUCUAUAAGAUUAGUUUGUCUAUGUUAGUAAAGUAUAGUGGUUUUUCAAGGUGGUCAUUUAUAUUUUUGAAUAAGUUCAGUUUAUUUCAAUUCUAAAUUUAGUUUAAUUGAAUUAUAUAUUUCUUAUUCUCGAUACCAGUUUAGGCAGUAUCAUGAGUAAUGAUAUUGUAUUUCGUUAUUCAAUUAUUGCAUGUAAUGAUCAUUUACGAAAAUAUAUAGGGCUUAAUUUAUGCGAAGUAGGAACCGAUUACUUGAGCAAUAGAAUAGUCCGUACACAUUAUCUAUACCCGAAAGAGCCGUUGUUGAAGACUACCCAGCCCCAUCGUCAAAAAUACAACCAGUACUAGUCGAAAAUAACCAACAAGAGACUGUGCUUGGAUUGGCCAACUUACUUUUGUUAUCUCGUCAGCAAAAGCUGACUGAAGCCGAUUUUCGGGAGUCUAUUCUCACUCUUGGUUUUAAUGAUGAUGAAGAACUCAUAAUGAAUAAUUUUUGUCAACAAAUAAAAGCUGAAUUACUUCAUCGGAUGAGUAAAAAAGAUGCCCAAUUGAUGACUUCGAGUGGAGACUGGAAGUAGAUGUUUAUUCUAAAUUUUUACGUAAUAACAACAGAGCAUUAAUAACUAUGGAUUUUUUAUUGGAAAACCAAAAAGACAACCGUUUGUUUUAUGAUACGAAGAAUUUUAAGAAGCACAAUGCAAAGAAAGGUGUUAGAAACCUAUACUAUAUUUGUCAAGAAAUAGAGAGGUGUCUGUACGAAUCUAGAUCAGCAUAUCGUAGAAAACUGAGAAAAACCAAAAUAUAAUGAUAAUAAUA